rnacentral:lncRNA from 1 species
UUGCUUGAUGAAUGUGUUAUAUAUGUGUGUUAUUUUUUUGUUAGUGUGAUGUGUCGUUGGAAUAUUGUUAUUUUUUUGAUGAAUGUUGAUUUUGUUUGUGAAUGUGAUGUUUCGUUGAUGAAUGUGAUAUUAUUUUGUUAUAUAUGUUUGGAUGUUUUGUUAUUAUUUUUGUUGGUGGUUGAUGUCCUACUUAUUGUGACAUGAAUUUUGAAUGAGUUUUUUCGUAUAUAUAUUUGUGUAUUUGUUAUAUUGUAUAUCAUAUUUUAGUUUAUUUUGUACUUUUGUUGAGAGAUAAUUUUACACUUGGGACACCCUUUUGAAUAUGUAUUGAUAUUUCUUUGUAUGUCUCUAUAUGAGCUAUGCCAAUUGAAAAUUUUGUAAUGUAGAACUUACAAUAAAAGUAAGGCAUAUAGUGUGGCUUGGAAUUGUUGAGUGAAUUUUUGUAAUGUACAACUUACAAACCAUGUUAGCUGAAGAUGAGGGUAAAAGAUGGGAGAUUCAGCUUCUUGAAAUUGGAUCAAUAUUGAUAUUUACAAGCAUGAAGAAAUUUCAGUAGCAAAGGUAUUUUUUAAAUUAGAAAUUGUUGUUUGAAUGAUAUUGUACUAAUGCGAUAUAAGUUUGAACAAAAUUUUAGAAAUAUUUUGCAGGUUGUAUUGAUUCUUAGCAAGCUUGCUAAAUUAAGAAGUCUUUUACUUCUCCCGGAACAUGAGGUAUUUUUUAUAUAUAUAUAUUUUAUUCUUUAUUCUUUAUUCUUUCUAACUCAAUUUUUUGUUUGAGAAAACAGGUUUGACAAAAGUAGAAGCGUUUCUUGAAGAGAAAAGGGAGGUAGUAAGAAUGUAGAGUGAGAUUAGGAUUUUGUGAUAGAUUUGGGUAGAAAAAGAGCCGUAAGUAGGUAUAGACGUAGAAGAGGACUAGUUUUAUAGGUUCUAAAUAUUUAGGAAAGUGA